rnacentral:rRNA from 1 species
GAUCCUGGCUCAGGACGAACGCUGGCGGCGUGCCUAACACAUGCAAGUCGAACGGGGAUUACGAGGAGCUUGCUUUUUGUAAUUCUAGUGGCGGACGGGUGAGUAACGCGUGAGCAACCUGCCCUUCAGUGGGGGAUAACACAGGGAAACCUGUGCUAAUACCGCAUAACACAUAUUGAUGGCAUCAUGAAUAUGUCAAAGAUUUAUCGCUGAAGGAUGGGCUCGCGUCCAAUUAGG